rnacentral:lncRNA from 1 species
CUGGUAGGCUGGGGCGAGAGUAGAGGACCAGGGAGCUCCAGUCAGUAUAGUACAGAGAGUGGCUGGGCUGGUGGAGGGAGAGUAGAGGGACUGGGGAGCUCCAGUCUAGUGGUACAGAGAGUGGCUGGCUGGCUGGAGGGAGAGUAGAGGGACUGGGGAGCUCCAGUCUAGUGGUACAGGGAUUGGGUGGCUGGCUGGAGGGAGAGUAGAGGGGACUGGGGAGCUCCAGUCUAGGUUACAGGGAGUGGUGCUGGCUGUGAGAGGAGAGUUAGAGGGACUGGGGAGCUCCAGUCUAGUAGUACGCGAGAGUGGCUGGCUGUGCUGGAGGGAGGGAGAGUAGAGGGACUGGGGAGUUCCAGUCUAGUAGGUACGAGAGUGGCUGGCUGGCUGGAGGGAGAGUAGAGGGAACUGGGGAGCUCCGUUCUAGUGGG